rnacentral:lncRNA from 1 species
CCUGUCCGGAGCUCUGUAACAAACAGUCGACCCCCAUGGGGCUCAGCCUUCCCCUGAGUACUAGUGUCCCUGACAGCGCAGAAUCUGGAUGCAGUUCCUGCAGCACCCCACUUUACGACCAAGGUGGCCCAGUGGAGAUUCUGCCCUUCUUGUACCUGGUCAGUGCCUACCAUGCUUCCCGAAAGGACAUGCCUCGGGCAUCACUGCCCUGAUCAAUGUUUCGGCCAAUUGCCCCAACCACUUUGAGGGCCACUACCAGUACAAGAGCAUUCCUGUGGAGGACAAUCACAAGGAGGAAUCAGCUCCUGGUUCAAUGAGGCCACUGACUUAAUAGAUUCCAUCAAGAAUGCAGGGGGAAGGGUGUUCGUCCACUGCCAGGCCGGCAUUUCCUGGUCAGCCACCAUCUGCCUCGCUUAACUCAUGAGGACUAACCAGGUGAAGCUG